CCUACGGGCGGCAGCAGUAGGGAAUAUUGCACAAUGGGGGAAACCCUGAUGCAGCGACGCCGCGUGAGUGAUGAAGUUUUUCGUAUUGUAAACUCCUUUUAUCAGGGAAGAUAAUGACGGUAUCUCACGAAUAAGCCCCGGCUAACUACGUGCCAGCAGCCGCGGUAAUACGGAGGGGGCAAGCGUUACCCGGAUUCACUGGGUGUAAAGGGAGCGUAGGCGGGAGUGUAAGUCAGAUGUGAAAGUCUGUGGCUCAACCACCGGACUGCUCUGGAAACUAUGCGGCUAGAGUGCAGGAGAGGUAGGUGGAAUUCUUGGUGUAGGGGUAAAAUGCGUAGAUAUUAAGAGGAACACCAAUGGCGAAGGCGACUUACUGGACUAUUACUGACGUUGAGGCACGAAAGCGUGGGGAGCAAACAGGAUUAGAUACCCGAGUAGUC
rnacentral:rRNA from 1 species